CAGGGCGUAGCUCAGGCCGCGCAGAGCACCGGCCUUGGGAGCCGGGGGGUCGCAGGUUCAAAACCUGCCGCCCUGA
rnacentral:tRNA from 1 species